GUUAGGGUUAGAGCUAGGGUUAGGGUAAUGGUUAAGGUUAGGGUUAGAUAAGGGUUAGGGUAAUGGUUAGGGUUAGGGUUAGAUAAGGGUUAAGGUAAGGAUAAAGGUUAAGGUUAGGGUUAGGUUUAGAUUAGGGUAAGGAUAAUGGUUAAGGUUAGGGUUAGAUAAGGAUAAAGGUUAAGGUUAGGGUUAGAGCUAGGGUUAGGUUAGGGUUAGGAUAAUGGUUAGGGUUAGGAUAAUGGUUAGGGUUAGGAUAAUGGUUAAGGUUAGGGUUAGAUAAGCAUUAGGGUAAUGGUUAGGGUUAGGGUUAGAUAAGGGUUAGGGUUAGGAUAAUGGUAUAGGUUAGGGUUAGAGCUAGGGUUAGGGUUAGAUUAGGGUUAGGGUUAGGAUAAUGGUAUAGGUUAGGGUUAGAGCUAGGGUUAGGGUUAGGGUUAGGAUAAUGGUAUAGGUUAGGGUUAGAGCUAGGGUUAGGGUUAGAUUAGGGUUAGGAUAAUGGUUAAGGUUAGGGUUAGAGCUAGGGUUAGGGUUAGGAUAAUGGUUAGGGUUAGGAUAAUGGUUAGGGUUAGGAUAAUGGUUAGGAUAAUGGUUAGGAUAAUGGUUAGGGUUAGGAUAAUGGUUAGGGUUAGGAUAAUGGUCAGGGUUAGGAUAAGGGUUAGGGUUAGGAUAAGGGUUAGGGUUAGGAUAAUGGUUAGGGUUAGGAUAAUGGUUAGGGUUAGGGUAAUGGUUAGGAUAAGGGUUAGGGUUAGAGCUAGGGUUAGGGUAAUGGUUAAGGUUAGGGUUAGAUAAGGGUUAGGGUAAUGGUUAGGGUUAGAGCUAGGGUUAGGGUUAGGGUUAGAUAAGGGUUAAGGUAAGGAUAAAGGUUAAGGUUAGGGUUAGGUUUAGAUUAGGGUAAGGAUAAUGGUUAAGGUUAGGGUUAGAUAAGGAUAAAGGUUAAGGUUAGGGUUAGAUAAGGAUAAAGGUUAAGGUUAGGGUUAGAGCUAGGGUUAGGUUAGGGUUAGGAUAAUGGUUAGGGUUAGGAUAAUGGUUAGGGUUAGGAUAAUGGUUAAG
rnacentral:lncRNA from 1 species